rnacentral:rRNA from 1 species
AUACUUAGGGUGCAAGCGUUAAUCGGAAUUACUGGGCGUAAAGCGCUCGUAGGCGGCUUGUCAAGUCGGAUGUGAAAUCCCCGGGCUCAACCUGGGAACUGCAUUCGAUACUGGCAAGCUAGAGUAUAGUAGAGGCAAGUGGAAUUCCGGGUGUAGCGGUGAAAUGCGUAGAUAUCCGGAGGAACAUCAGUGGCGAAGGCGACUUGCUGGACUAAUACUGACGCUGAGGAGCGAAAGCGUGGGGAGCAAACGGGAUUAGAAACCCCGGUAGUCC